rnacentral:rRNA from 1 species
AACGAACGCUGGCGGCAGGCCUAACACAUGCAAGUCGAACGGGACCUUCGGGUCUAGUGGCGGACGGGUGAGUAACGCGUGGGAACGUGCCCUUUGGUUCGGAAUAGCCCCGGGAAACUGGGAGUAAUACCGGAUAAGCCCUACGGGGGAAAGAUUUAUCGCCAAAGGAUCGGCCCGCGUUGGAUUAGGUAGUUGGUGAGGUAAUGGCUCACCAAGGCGACGAUCCAUAGCUGGUUUGAGAGGAUGAUCAGCCACACUGGGACUGAGGCACGGCCCAGACUCCUACGGGAGGCAGCAGUGGGGAAUCUUAGACAAUGGGGGAAACCCUGAUCUAGCCAUGCCGCGUGAUCGAUGAAGGCCUUAGGGUUGUAAAGAUCUUUCAGUGGGGAAGAUAAUGACUGUACCCACAGAAGAAGCCCCGGCUAACUCCGUGCCAGCCGCCGCAGUAA